UACGUAGGGUGCAAGCGUUGUCCGGAAUUAUUGGGCGUAAAGAGCUCGUAGGCGGUUUGUCGCGUCGGCUGUGAAAACCUAGGGCUCAACCCUGGGCCUGCAGCCGAUACGGGCAAGCUAGAGUUCGGUAGGGGAGACUGGAAUUCCUGGUGUAGCGGUGAAAUGCGCAGAUAUCAGGAGGAACACCGGUGGCGAAGGCGGGUCUCUGGGCCGAUACUGACGCUGAGGAGCGAAAGCGUGGGGAGCGAACAGG
rnacentral:rRNA from 1 species